rnacentral:rRNA from 1 species
UACGUAGGGUGCAGGCGUUAAUCGGAAUUACUGGGCGUAAAGCGUGCGCAGGCGGUCUUUUAAGUCAGAUGGGAAAUCCCCGGGCUUAACCUGGGAAUGGCAUUGGUGACUGCACGGCUAGAGUGUGUCAGAGGGGGGUAGAAUUCCACGUGUAGCAGUGAAAUGCGUAGAGAUGUGGAGGAAUACCGAUGGCGAAGGCAGCCCCCUGGGAUAACACUGACGCUCAUGCACGAAAGCGUGGGGAGCAAACAGG